UACAGAGGGUGCAAGCGUUGUUCGGAAUUAUUGGGCGUAAAGGGCGCGUAGGCGGUGCGGUAAGUCACCUGUGAAAUCCCCGGGCUUAACUCGGGGCCUGCAGGCGAAACUGUGGUGCUGGAGUAUGGGAGAGGUGCGUGGAAUUCUCGGUGUAGAGGUGAAAUUCGUAGAUAUCGAGAGGAACACCGGUGGCGAAGGCGGCCAACUGGACGAGUACUGACGCUGAGACACGAAAGCGUGGGGAGCAAACAGG
rnacentral:rRNA from 1 species